AGCUGGUAGAGCAACUGACUUGUAAUCAGUAGGUCCCGGGUUCGACUCCUGGUGCCGGCACCAUCUAGAUCAAGGG
rnacentral:tRNA from 1 species